rnacentral:snRNA from 1 species
UAGUGUUACAGCUCUUUUAGAAUUUUUCUAGUAGAUUUUCUGGUGCUCACUGGAAGACACC